AGUGAACGCUGGCGGCAGGCCUAAUACAUGCAAGUCGAACGGCAGCACAGCAGAGCUUGCUCUGUGGGUGGCGAGUGGCGGACGGGUGAGGAAUACAUGGGAAUCUGCCCAGUCGUGGGGGAUAACGUAUGGAAACGUACGCUAAUACCGCAUGCGCCCUACGGGGGAAAGUCGGGGACCGCAAGGCCUGACGCGAUUGGAUGAGCCCAUGUUCGAUUAGCUAGUUGGCGGGGUAAAGGCCCACCAAGGCGACGAUCGAUAGCUGGUCUGAGAGGAUGAUCAGCCACACUGGAACUGAGACACGGUCCAGACUCCUACGGGAGGCAGCAGUAGGGAAUAUUGGACAAUGGGGGCGAACCCUGAUCCAGCCAUGCCGCGUGAGUGAAGAAGGCCCUCGGGUUGUAAAGCUCUUUGUCCGGAAAGAAAAGCAAUCGGUUAAUACCCGGUUGUCCUGACGGUACCGGAAGAAUAAGCACCGGCUAAC
rnacentral:rRNA from 1 species